GCAGCCUGUAGUCUAGUGGCCAAGAUACAUGACUGGUACCCCUGAGGUUGGUGGUUCAAGCCCCACUCCAGCUACA